rnacentral:rRNA from 1 species
GGCUCAGGAUGAACGCUAGCGACAGGCCUAACACAUGCNAGUCGAGGGGCAGCAUAAAGGUAGCAAUACUUUGGUGGCGACCGGCGCACGGGUGAGUAACACGUAUGCAACCUACCUGUAAGUGGGGGAUAACCCGUUGAAAGACGGACUAAUACCGCGUAAUACUGAUUUUACAUAAGUAGAAUCAGUUAAACAUUUAUGGUUUACAGAUGGGCAUGCGCAUGAUUAGCUAGUUGGAGAGGUAACGGCUCCCCAAGGCAACGAUCAUUAGGGGUUCUGAGAGGAAGGUCCCCCACACUGGUACUGAGACACGGACCAGACUCCUACGGGAGGCAGCAGUGAGGAAUAUUGGUCAAUGGGCGCGAGCCUGAACCAGCCAAGUCGCGUGCAGGAAGAAUGUCCUAUGGAUUGUAAACUGCUUUUGCAGGGGAAUAAAGUGAGUCACGUGUGACUUUUUGUAUGUACCUUGCGAAUAAGGAUCGGCUAACUCCGUGCCA